AACAGUUUAGCUGGUUUUGGGGAGGAGGUGCCUGCAUCAGUAGCAACUGAGGCAUCUCAACAAGAGAAAAAGAAGAAGAAGAAACCCCUUGGGAGAGAGAUGCUAUUGGGUUGUUGAAGUUUUCAGAUCUCAGAGCAUCCUCUAUUUUAUUUACAGCUCCUCUGUGACUAAAUACCAUUUUCCAGUUACUAUAUUGUGUGUUUUUUUCAGUUGGGCUCCUUAUCCUUUCUCUGAAGCAACAUGACCGCAUAGUAAACUGUUUUUGAGGAGCGUUUGCUGUUUGAGGUUAGAAGCUGAAACCACAUAGUUCCUUAUCUUGCCUUUCUGCGACUGUUUUUAUAUGAGCGAGUAGGGCAAAAAAGCAAAGUGCUAACAACCGAAGUCUUCUUUUUCCCCUCUCCACACCCAUAUUUUUGAGGCCACAGUCCCCUCUAGGACCCAGCUGCUGGCUCUCUUUGGUUUUGUUGCCUGCGGACCAGGCAAAAAUCAAAGCCUUUCCUACCACCCGUGAUGUUUUAGUACCCCACGGGCUUAGCAAUAAGCUUGUGCCGUCCCUCCACACCCCAUGUUGCGGACAGCCCAGCCAACCACACAACCCAGCAUGCCUGAGGGCUUCCUUCCUCACCAAGAGAGGGAAACCACUGGGAAGCGACAACCACAACUCCCAAAGAGCCCAUUGCUUCUCAAAUGAAAACAUUGUGGAGCUGUGGCCUAAAUACAACCGUUGUUUGCCAACAAGUCAGAAACAUCUAGAACAAUCUCCCCUCUGGUCCAGCGCGAGGACCACCUGGUGCCCAGAAGCAGAUAAACAUCACGUGGCACCGUGAGCCUGUCCUGCUGCAUCAGCCACACCUGCUCAUCUCCUUGAAGAAGGACUUUGACUUGGGCUAGCAAAGGAGGCAGGGGUGAUGCUCACCAGGAUCACGGGCCUGAGCAGAAACCCUUGGAGAAGUGCAGCAUAGCCUUCAGCCACAGCAUCUGACCGCUCUCUUGGCUGUGCUUGGCAGUUGCUGCCACGCGGGUACCGCCUGUAGAGCCCACAGUAAAUACCCCUCCUUCGCCAGCAAGAAGAACAUGAAGAUCACCAGGGUACCACGCUGAGGUGCACCAUACACUAACAGUUCAGGUCCCAAACGUGUUAUUUGCCCCGUCAGUUCCUGAAACAUGUCUUUGUAAGAUGUUCACGCCUCUCCCAGCACCAAAGACACCUCCAGCAGGACUGAUCUACUAUCCUGCUGCCCCUCUUUGGAGUGCCUUGUCCCCGUUAAGUAAACAGUGCAGGAAACCCUUCGUAUUUACCCACUCCAGAGAAGACCUUUGGUUUAACCUUGUCAGGAUGCGUCUGCUGGAGCGACAGCGUACUGUAUGUUCUGCCUCUCUAUUUGCAUGGGUCGAGGAAGGAGGCUGCCUACAUAACCACCCUCCAGAUGGAGUGGUCCCAUACGCAUCCAGACCUUUGUUGGCAGUUGCCAGGCUCACGCGGUACAUGAGAAACGCCUCACGUGUAAUUAUAGGGCUGCGGUGUUUUGCUUAAUUGUUCUGCUGACAGAAUACAGCUGUCAAAGGAAUUGUCCCCUUGGAAACCUCCCUGCCCACACAUUUUAGGACACUCAAGAUAAACUAGAUCUCCUAGCAGGCUCAGGGUGGACAGAUGUAAUUUCAUGGGGGCUGGGGGACAGAAGGGUCAAACUUCUAAUUUUUCACAGAA